rnacentral:tRNA from 1 species
GCGGGAAUAGCUCAGUGGUAGAGCAUCAGCUUCCCAAGCUGAGGGUCGCGGGUUCGACCCCCGUUUCCCGCUCCA